GGAGAGUAUUAUUAUUCUACUGCCUGUUUGCUUUGCUGGGAGGAUGACAGAAACAUGGCACUAUGUAAAAACUAAAUGAUUGAGGUCUCAAUGUAAAGUGGAAAAAAGCUCCUGCUGCCAACAAAUCUUCCUCAGACACAAUGUUUUCAGGCUUUCCUCAGGUCCAACAAGAUUCCAGUCUUUAGAAGCCUUUUAGGAAAUGAGAAUAAAAAUUGCUUGUUUAUUGCCUACGUACUGAAGUCGU